GGGGUGGUACCUCAGUGGUAGAGCAUGUGUUUUGCAUGCAGAAGGCCUCAGGUGCAAUCCCUGGUACCUGCA